GGCCCUGGACACAUUGCUGAGAUGGGCUGACCACCAAUACCAGGCCCAGUCAUUAAAAGUACCUGAUGUUAGAAGAUCAAGUGUUAAAUGUCAUAGCCUAGAAGGAGCAGUUCUGGGAGAAGAACCCAGAUGUCCUCAGUGCUCCACUCCAUACGAGCCCUGGGAUGCUGGGGUGUGAGCUAGGCCGUGCACAAGCCAUUAGAAGGUGUUCCACACAGGGGAGCGUCUCUACCCCCUUAUCCAUGAUGUCCACACCCAGCUGGCUGGCAAGAUCACGGGCAUGCUGCUGGAGAUUGACAACUCGGAGCUGUUGCUCAUGCUGGAGUCUCCAGAAUCCCUCCAUGCCAAGAAAAGGAAAUCCUCGCUUCCAUGGCUGCCAAAAGGACAGUGUUUCUGGCUCUCAGCCCUAAGGCCCUGCAAACUCUAACUUAUUUCCCAAUUAGUCUGUAUCUAUACUUGGGCUCUGUAUGUGAAUGAAGGUUGGUCACCCAUCCAGCCUAUUACCUUUUGCUUUGUGUAUUAAAAGUGCUGCAAAAUCUGC
rnacentral:sRNA from 1 species